GGGCGCAGGCGCAGAGAAUCAGCCUAGUACCGGGUGGGGCCGGCGCUGCGCAGUCAUGAUCGUCGCCGAGGUGGCGGUGGAGUCCGCGGUCCCAGUAGUGGCCGGUGCUGAGACGGCCGCCGUUGUCCCGGAGCACGAAGAGCGGCUGUGGCCCUGGAAAGAUGCCCCGAUCCCGACGCUGGUGCAGCGCAUCCACCAGUUGCAGGCUGAGCGUGCGCAGGCCUUCCGCCGACUGGAGAAAGGCCACCGCCAGUACCUGCGCAGCGGCCCGCCCCACGACUUCCCGAGCUAUCGGAGCACGGUGCACGAGGUGACCCAGGCCUUCGCCGCCGCCUCGCGGGAGGUACUGGCGGUGGAGGCAGAGCUGGCCGGGCCCCGAGCGCAGCCGCUACUUUCGAGCCAUGUGCGAAGCCUGCAGAAGCUGGAGCAGACGCGCUUGGCCACGGUGGCCCUGCUGCAGCUGAUGGGGGCGCCAGAGCUGAUGGGGCAGGAGGACACCCUAAAGAUGUGCCGGCUGAAGAUGAAGUGAGCCCUGCCUCCCAAUGGACUGACCAUGCUAGCUUUGCACAUGCACCCUCCAACAAGCAUCUAUCCCCAGCAAUUUCCCAUCCGUUCUUGUAGGGUAAUUAAAACCAUGGAGGCGAUCAGUGAGGUUCUCCAGGACCUCAGGUUUGAUUCGGAAUCUGCCGAGUGAUGGUGGCUCCCCAGGGACAUGCAGAGGGAGAUGGGAAAUGAGGUGGAUGGUGCCCAGCCCAGCCCUGACCACCAGCUGGCUGGGGUCAUGGCUCACCAGGCUGCUGACCCUCCUCGAGCUCACAACGCCUCCCACAAUAAAGAACCCUUAGUCUACAGCCA